GUUCCGUUAGCUCAGUAGGGAGAGCGCCACCUUGACAGGGUGGAGGUCACUGGUUCGAGCCCAGUACGGGACACCA
rnacentral:tRNA from 1 species